GUGCUCACUUCAGCAGCGCAGAGACUAAAAUUGGAACACCACAGAGAAGACUGGCACGGCCCCUGCACAAGGAUGACGUGCAGAUUCGUGAAGCGUGCCGUGUGUUU